GAGUUUGAUCAUGGCUCAGAUUGAACGCUGGCGGCAGGCCUAACACAUGCAAGUCGAGCGGAUGACGGGAGCUUGCUCCUUGAUUCAGCGGCGGACGGGUGAGUAAUGCCUAGGAAUCUGCCUGGUAGUGGGGGACAACGUUUCGAAAGGAACGCUAAUACCGCAUACGUCCUACGGGAGAAAGCAGGGGACCUUCGGGCCUUGCGCUAUCAGAUGAGCCUAGGUCGGAUUAGCUAGUUGGUGGGGUAAUGGCUCACCAAGGCGACGAUCCGUAACUGGUCUGAGAGGAUGAUCAGUCACACUGGAACUGAGACACGGUCCAGACUCCUACGGGAGGCAGCAGUGGGGGAAUAUUGGACAAUGGGCGAAAGCCUGAUCCAGCCAUGCCGCGUGUGUGAAGAAGGUCUUCGGAUUGUAAAGCACUUUAAGUUGGGAGGAAGGGCAGUAAGUUAAUACCUUGCUGUUUUGACGUUACCGACAGAAUAAGCACCGGCUAACUCUGUGCCAGCCGCCG
rnacentral:rRNA from 1 species